CAGUUUUUCCCCCUGGGUUCAUGAAGGGCAGGGACCUUAACAGCUGCUCAAACAGCAGAGACCAAAGAAAAUGCAACAGAGCCAAAAGACCUGAAAGGAACUGACAUGGUGAUGCAGUGGAACUUAACAUAUUCUGAAGAACCCAAGGAGCUGCUGAUAUAUUCAAAGAGUUAUAAGGUGACAUUAUCCCAGCGUACAAACACACUGCGUCCUGUCUGCUUCUGUGGGCAAGAACAAUGAACUCCUUCACUCACCUUCACUCAGAAGCCAGGUGAGCUGGCUGUGGAAAUGAUGAUGAAGCGAUGCAAGGAACUGAAGCCACGGCAAGAAGGAACAUGAAGUCAGAGUACACUAACUUGGAAAAACAGCAGGGAAUAACAAUGUAAUAAUCACUGCUUCCUGGCUUUCCAUAACACUUUCCAUUUUCACUAUUUACCGGAGUGAUGGCUGUUAGUUGCAGAUUGUCUCUGAUUGGUGCUGGAACA